rnacentral:lncRNA from 1 species
GGCAAACUUGUUUAAAUACACAAUUCAUCUUUCAGAAGGCUACACCUUUAGUGAGUUCAUUUUGUCAUUCACAAAGGUGCAGCAGGGAGGCACAAAGGUUAGAGACUUUCUCUACCAAAGAGACGGUGAUUAAUGGGCUGAGAACAAAAGAGGCUGUAAGUAUUGUCAAUGCUAAGUGUUUCUUUGCUUUUAUUUACAAUUCUCUGGCUUGAAAGCUAGGUAUGCUGUUGUCUUAAUCAGACUGGUAAUUAAAGUGAUAUCUAAUGAUGUCUGCUUAACAAAGUCACCUGGAAGUAUUCUGGAUGGGCUGAGAACCAUAAUAGGGCUAGCUUGGGGUGAUUGUGUUGUGGGGAGGGAUUGUGCUGCCCCAGGUGUGGCUGGGGGCAGUAGCUGGUUUGGCCAUAAAUAGAUAGGGGGCUGGGGCCUCUGUUUUGCUGUUUGCAUGGCUACAUCUCAUGAAAGGUGCAGUAUUCUGCUACUGCCACCAGAAAAAGUGGUAGAACAGUUGCAUCUAGUGGAGUCAUUUGUCUUGAAACAAGGAACGUCUACCAUCCACCAAAUGUCCCAUUGACCUUCUACUGGGCUGGUAGAACAGCCACCUGCCUGGAAGCAUCUGAUAAAGGCCUUUUUCUUCUCCAUGCAUGCAGUUUGUUUCACACAAAUUACUGUAUAGUUUGCACUGGAAAUCUGCAGGCUGACUCCAGGGCAGGUGGGCUAUGCAGAGCACUCUUCAUGAAGGGCUGCUGCUCUCUGGUUCCUUCCCUUGCAGUUUUGAAGCAUUCAUAUCUUCAGAUGAGUGAUGGCUCCCUGCAUCUUAAUCCUCUUGUUGGUUAG